rnacentral:rRNA from 1 species
CUACGGGACGCUGCAGUGAAGAAUAUUGCACAAUGGGGGGAACCCUGAUGCAGCAACGCCGCGUGGAGGAUGACGCAUUUCGGUGUGUAAACUCCUUUUAUAUGUCAAGAAAAUGACGGUAGCAUAUGAAUAAGCACCGGCUAACUCCGUGCCAGCAACCGCGGUAAUACGGAGGGUGCAAGCGUUACUCGGAAUCACUGGGCGUAAAGGACGCGUAGGCGGGUUGGAAAGUCAGGUGUGAAAUCCUACAGCUUAACUGUAGAACUGCACUUGAAACUUCUAAUCUAGAGUAUGGGAGGGGGAGAUGGAAUUAGUGGUGUAGGGGUAAAAUCCGUAGAUAUCACUAGGAAUACCUAAAGCGAAGGCGAUCUCCUGGAACAUUACUGACGCUAAGGCGUGAAAGCGUGGGGAGCAAACAGGAUUAGAUACCCCGGUAGUC